rnacentral:rRNA from 1 species
GGAGGGUGCAAACGUUGCUCGGAAUUACUGGGCGUAAAGCGCGUGCAGGCGGUCUAUUAAGUCUCGUGUGAAAGCCCUGGGCUCAACCCAGGAAGUGCACGGGGAUACUGAUGGACUAGAGUUCGGUAGAAGAGGGCGGAAUUCCCGGUGUAGAGGUGAAAUUCGUAGAUAUCGGGAGGAACACCAGAAGCGAAAGCGGUUCUCUAGGCCGAUACUGACGCUCAGACGCGAAGGCGUGGGGAGCAAACAGGGAUUAGAUACCCUGGUAGUCCACGCCGUAAACGAUGGACACUAGAUGCUGGGGGGCUUGACCCCCCUUCAGCGUCGACGCUAACGCAUUAAGUGUCCCGCCUGGGGAUACGGUCGCAAGACUA